GUUGUCUUAGCUCAGUUGGUAAAGCAUAUGGGUUUUAACCAUUUGGUUGUGGGUUCGAUUCCCAUAGACGGCG